rnacentral:ncRNA from 1 species
UGGAUAUGUCAUCGGGGGCCUGGGAAGAGUUAUCUUUUCUUUUUAAUGACUUUCCCACCCUGAAAUCGGUUCAAACAAAGAUAGGGUCCAACAUAUGAAAUAACAACAAAUGUCUUGUGGUGUUUGGUGCCCCUCAGCGGCCAUUGAAAAUAUGGAGAACCGAGUACCAUCCAUGCCCGAUCCUACUCAUAUCUGCCUCCUUGGAUUUUUCAAUGUCCACUAGGUUAGCGGUCU